UCCAGCUGUGUGUCUGUGAAGAGUGACGGGUCUAUGGAUCCGCCAACAAACUUUAAGAGUGGAGAUUCACAGCCUGAUCUCAGUUCAGCAGAAGCAGAGUCCAACUGUGUGUCUAUGAAGAGUGAACAUGACUAUGAUUCAGCCAAUAAACUUAAACAGUGGAGAUACACGGCCUGAUCCCAGCAAAGAAGUCCUCUCAACACAUUUAGAUCAAAUCUGCUGAAGAAGUUUAAGCAUCUCUGUGUGAGGGAACAGCGACGCAGAGAAACCCAACACUGCUGAAUGAGAUCUACACAGAGCUCUACAUCACAGAGAGUGAGAGUGGAGAGAUCAGUAAUGAGCAUGAAGUGAGACAUAUUGAGACACAAUCCAGGAGAGCAGCAACAGAGGACACAGCUAUCAAAUG